rnacentral:rRNA from 1 species
CACGUAGGGGGCGAGCGUUGUCCGGAUUUAUUGGGCGUAAAGAGCUCGUAGGCGGUUCGGUAAGUCGGGUGUGAAACCUCCAGGCUCAACCUGGAGUCGCCACUCGAUACUGCUGUGACUAGAGUCCGGUAGGGGAGCGUGGAAUUCCUGGUGUAGCGGUGAAAUGCGCAGAUAUCAGGAGGAACACCAGCGGCGAAGGCGGCGCUCUGGGCCGGAACUGACGCUGAGGAGCGAAAGCGUGGGUAGCAAACAGG